GAUGAACGCUGGCGGCGUGCCUAAUACAUGCAAGUAGAACGCUGAAGCUUGGUGCUUGCACCGAGCGGAUGAGUUGCGAACGGGUGAGUAACGCGUAGGGAACCUGCCUGGUAGCGGGGGAUAACUAUUGGAAACGAUAGCUAAUACCGCAUAACAGUAGAUAUUGCAUGAUAUCUGCUUGAAAGGUGCAAAUGCAUCACUACCAGAUGGACCUGCGUUGUAUUAGCUAGUUGGUGAGGUAACGGCUCACCAAGGCGACGAUACAUAGCCGACCUGAGAGGGUGAUCGGCCACACUGGGACUGAGACACGGCCCAGACUCCUACGGGAGGCAGCAGUAGGGAAUCUUCGGCAAUGGGGGGAACCCUGACCGAGCAACGCCGCGUGAGUGAAGAAGGUUUUCGGAUCGUAAAGCUCUGUUGUAAGAGAAGAACGAGUGUGAGAGUGGAAAGUUCACACUGUGACGGUAUCUUACCAGAAAGGGACGGCUAACUACGUG
rnacentral:rRNA from 1 species